rnacentral:lncRNA from 1 species
GGUUGACCUAGUUCAGCCCGCAUAAGGAGGCUUAAAGCUGUGCCUAGGACCCCAGCUCAGGCACCGAACAACAGCUGCCUGGAGCUAUGGGAGGGGCAAUAAAAGGACUGCUGUGGCCACCACAACUGGGACUGCACUGUGUCAGAUCUGAAGCGAGCACAGCCCUGAGUCUCAUCCAGAGCCCAUUAUAACCAUUGCUUGGCCAACAUCUAUGUUUGUUCAAACCUCAGCGCUCUACAGUCAGCAGAUGGCAAAGCCAACAAGGCUUUUCUCUUUCCCUUUAGGGUGGAAAGUUUCCCCCCAGCCCAGAAAUGGGGUUUCACCGUGUUGGCAUGCUGGUCUCAAACUCCUGACCUCAAGUGAUCCACCCGCCUUGGCCUCCCAAAGUGCUGGAAUUACAGGCACAAGCUACUGCGCCCUGCCAGCCACUGCGCCCAGCCUGCCUUGCAAGUUUAAUUGGAAUGCCAGAGCACCUUAGCCUACGGCGGUGAGGCUUGCUGAAACUCAAGUUCCAAACAAGGAGACGGACAAUUUCUCUUUGGCUAGAGGUUCUAAAUGCUCCCUCUGUGGUCAUCAGCUGAGUUCUGCAAAGUGUUGUUUUCCACUGUGACAGGGCAGCAGUGAAUUCCAAUGCAAAGUCCCAUAAUCACUGCACUUCUCCUCCCCCAAGCAUACAGAUUCUCCAUAUCAUGCAGUUCCUGCUAAGGAAUGGAAAAGAUAAUUUCACUGUCCUUUCCCUCUCAUUGGGAGUGAAAUAGAAUUCCUUCCUUUAGUAAUGUUCAGCUUGGCCAUGUGACUCACUUUGGCUAAUAGAAGGUAAUGAUGUUGCUACAAGCAGAGACAUGGCUUGGAUCCUAUUAUGAUCUUACGGUUUACCAGGAGAGGAAUAUAUCCUAGAUUGUCUGAACCUCACAAUGGAACAUGAAGAGACCAUUUGCCUUGUAGGUGCGGGUUCAAGGAAGAUGAGACAAAUAUGGAAUAAGCUUGUAUCCAUUCCUGGAGCCUGGAGCCUGGAGCCUGGGGCCCAGAUACUGAAGCCUUGAGUCUAAUUUAGUCCAGCUGAUUUUCAGCUAACCCUCGCACACAUAAACAUGAGAAUAAAUGAGUUUUCUUUCAACUCAAAA